rnacentral:misc_RNA from 1 species
CAAGAAAUAAUCAGCUCGAUUCAAAGUCACAAAAACGUGUACGGUUUGAUCCAGAAUGUAAAGAUGAUUUUGAUGAAGAGUCUGAUGGAAUCAGAGGCACACACAUGGAAACUGAUUCAGUAGAUGAGUCUUUGGUGUAUCCUUUGCCCUCUGAUUAUCCUUCUGGGAUUCCAGAUUAUAUGCGAAAUCCUUCAAAAUACACGCGCUACACUUUCGAUUCAUCAAGUGAUGUAGAUGAACAAUCUAACCGGCAAGCCUUUAUGGACUUUCUUAAGAUGCUGAAGAAGUCAAAUACUACAGAAUCACAGCCAGAUGAUGCUCCCUUUGAUCUUCCAAAAUCACUAACCUUCAUACCAAAGAGGAAAGCCCUUGAUACUGAAACAGUCAACAAUCACUCUGAGUCGAAACAAAACCAGGAUGAAGCCAGCAAGGAGUCUAUGCUUAGGAGGGGUUUACCAAUAUGCAUUGCAGCUAGCGAUACAGAAGAUGGCGAAACGUGUGCCAUGGAGGAAGAUGAACCUGAAACAGCAGCUGAGAGGAAAAACAGUUCGCAGAAAUCAGGCCGCAAGUAUCGGACAAAGGCCACCUUGGAAAACGAAUCCAUUUGAGAAUUGUAUUAUCUUCAUUGAGAAACUAUGCUAACUUCUGUAUUAUAGAAACCGUGACUGUAUAAUUAU